rnacentral:rRNA from 1 species
AGCAGUGGACAUACCGCCUUGUGAAUGCCUCGUCUCAUCUGUUUUCAGAAACUAAGCAAUGUUGGGCCUUUUUAGUACUGGAAUGGGAGACUGCUGGGAAUACCAAGUUCUGUAGUGG